UCGUCAGCUCGUGUCGUGAGAUGUUGGGUUAAGUCCCGCAACGAGCGCAACCCUUGUCCUUAGUAGCCAGCACGUUAAGGUGGGAACUCUAAGGAGCCUCCCAGGGAUAACCUCGAGGAAGCACGGGAUGACGUCAAAUCAUCAUGCCCCUUAUGAUUUGGACUACACACGUGCUACAAUGGCGUAAACAAAGGGAAGCAAACCUGUGAGGGGGAGCGAAUCCCAAAAAUAACGUCCCAGUUCGGACUGCAGUCUGCAACUCGACUGCACGAAGCUGGAAUCGCUAGUAAUCGCGGAUCAGCAUGCCGCGGUGAAUACGUUCCCGGGUCUUGUACACACCGCCCGUCACACCAUGGGAGUUGGUAACGCCCGAAGUCAGUGACCUAACCGAAAGGAGGGAGCUGCCGAAGGCGGGACUGAUGACUGGGGUGAAGUCGUAACAAGGUAACCGUA
rnacentral:rRNA from 1 species